GAUGAACGCUGGCGGCGUGCCUAAUACAUGCAAGUCGAGCGAAUGGAUUGAGAGCUUGCUCUUAUGAAGUUAGCGGCGGACGGGUGAGUAACACGUGGGUAACCUGCCCAUAAGACUGGGAUAACUCCGGGAAACCGGGGCUAAUACCGGAUAACAUUUUGAACCGCAUGGUUCGAAAUUGAAAGGCGGCUUCGGCUGUCACUUAUGGAUGGACCCGCGUCGCAUUAGCUAGUUGGUGAGGUAACGGCUCACCAAGGCAACGAUGCGUAGCCGACGUGAGAGGGUGAUCGGCGACACUGGGACUGCGACACGGCCCAGACUCCUACGGGGGGCAGCAGUAGGGAAUCUUCCGCAAUGGACGAAAGUCUGACGGAGCAACGCCGCGUGAGUGAUGAAGGCUUUCGGGUCGUAAAACUCUGUUGUUAGGGAAGAACAAGUGCUAGUUGAAUAAGCUGGCACCUUGACGGUACCUAACCAGAAAGCCACGGCUAACUACGUGCCAGCAGCCGCGGUAA
rnacentral:rRNA from 1 species